rnacentral:tRNA from 1 species
AAGGCACUAGUAAAACAGACAUUACCCUGCCUUGUCAAGGCAGUAUCGUGGGUUUGAACCCCACGUGCCUUA